AACGCACAUUGCGCCCCUUGGUAUUCCGAGGGGCAUGCCUGUUCGAGCGUCAUUACAACCCUCAAGCAAUGCUUGGUCUUGGGCCCCGCCAGUCAUCCGGCGGGCCUUAAAAUCAGUGGCGGUGCCGUCAGGCUCUGAGCGUAGUAAAUCUUCUCGCUACAGGGACCUGGUGGAUGCUAGCCAGCAACCCCCAAUUUUCUAUGGUUGACCUCGGAUCAGGUAGGGAUACCCGCUGAACUUAA
rnacentral:misc_RNA from 3 species